rnacentral:pre_miRNA from 1 species
CGCCCUGGUGACUCACUCAACCUGCGUGUGAUGUCCUUCGAGUCCAUCACAACCUCCUUGAGUGAGCGACUAGGGCG